rnacentral:rRNA from 1 species
AACGAACGCUGGCGGCAGGCUUAACACAUGCAAGUCGAACGCCCCGCAAGGGGAGUGGCAGACGGGUGAGUAACGCGUGGGGACAUACCCUUUUCUACGGAAUAGCUCUGGGAAACUGGAAUUAAUACCGUAUACGCCCUACGGGGGAAAGAUUUAUCGGGGAAGGAUUGGCCCGCGUUGGAUUAGCUAGUUGGUGGGGUAAAGGCCUACCAAGGCGACGAUCCAUAGCUGGUCUGAGAGGAUGAUCAGCCACAUUGGGACUGAGACACGGCCCAAACUCCUACGGGAGGCAGCAGUGGGGAAUAUUGGACAAUGGGCGCAAGCCUGAUCCAGCCAUGCCGCGUGAGUGAUGAAGGCCUUAGGGUUGUAAAGCUCUUUCACCGAUGCAGAUAAUGACGGUAGUCGGAGAAGAAGCCCCGGCUAACUUCGUGCCAGCCGCCGCGGUAAAAC